CAUCAAUUAAGGAUAAAGAUAAGCUAAAAAUAUUAAUAGGUCAUAGACCUCCUUUUCGAGAUAUUUGAGAUUGAAAAUAUGGCGGGAAAAGGCUGACUCGGACUUUUACCUUAUAUUUGCAUUGGUAUUAUUUGGGUCUCAUAACAAAAGAAAGAAAAUCAAGAAUCUUCUAAAAUUUUGGUAAAUGACCUUUCAUGAGCUAUUAAGUCUUAUAUGAAAAAUAAAUGGGUGUUAUGGGGCAAAAUAUUU
rnacentral:lncRNA from 1 species